GGGCACAUGGUGUAGUUGGUUAUCACAUCCGCUUAGCAUUAUCAGCUUGCGGGGGGUGCUGGGUUCAAUUCCCAGUGUGUCCA